UACGUAGGGGGCUAGCGUUGUCCGGAAUCAUUGGGCGUAAAGCGUGCGCAGGCGGCUUUGCAAGACAGAUGUGAAAUCCCCGGGCUUAACCUGGGAACUGCAUUUGUGACUGCAAGGCUAGAGUACGGCAGAGGGGGAUGGAAUUCCGCGUGUAGCAGUGAAAUGCGUAGAUAUGCGGAGGAACACCGAUGGCGAAGGCAAUCCCCUGGGCCUGUACUGACGCUCAUGCACGAAAGCGUGGGGAGCAAACAGG
rnacentral:rRNA from 1 species